GCCGGGGUGGCGAAAUUGGUAGACGCACGUGCCUUAGGAGCACGCGGAGUAAUCCUUGGAGGUUCGAGUCCUCUCCCCGGCA
rfam:Parcubacteria bacterium C7867-002 C7867_00417, whole genome shotgun sequence.